rnacentral:piRNA from 1 species
UACCAAGUUUAUUCUGUGAGAUAGACACAA